rnacentral:rRNA from 1 species
AGAGUUUGAUCAUGGCUCAGGACGAACGCUGGCGGCGUGCUUAACACAUGCAAGUCGAACGAUGAAGCCAGCUUGCUGGUGGAUUAGUGGCGAACGGGUGAGUAACACGUGGGCAACCUGCCCCUAGCUCUGGGAUAAGCCCGGGAAACCGGGUCUAAUACCGGAUAUGAGACCGGGCCGCAUGGUCUGGUUUGGAAAGUUUUUCGGCUGGGGACGGGCCCGCGGCCUAUCAGCUUGUUGGUGGGGUAAUGGCCUACCAAGGCGACGACGGGUAGCCGGCCUGAGAGGGCGACCGGCCACACUGGGACUGAGACACGGCCCAGACUCCUACGGGAGGCAGCAGUGGGGAAUAUUGCACAAUGGGCGAAAGCCUGAUGCAGCGACGCCGCGUGAGGGAUGACGGCCUUCGGGUUGUAAACCUCUUUCAGCAGGGACGAAGCGCAAGUGACGGUACCUGCAGAAGAAGCACCGGCCAACUACGUGCCAGCAGCCGCGGUAAUACGUAGGGUGCAAGCGUUGUCCGGAAUUAUUGGGCGUAAAGAGCUCGUAGGCGGUUUGUCACGUCGGCUGUGAAAACCUGGGGCUCAACCCCGGGCCUGCAGCCGAUACGGGCAGACUAGAAUUCGGCAGGGGAGACUGGAAUUCCUGGUGUAGCGGUGAAAUGCGCAGAUAUCAGGAGGAACACCGGUGGCGAAGGCGGGUCUCUGGGCCGAUAUUGACGCUGAGGAGCGAAAGCGUGGGGAGCAAACAGGAUUAGAUACCCUAGUAGUCC